AAUUUAAGAAUUCAAAAUUUAACACAAAUCUCUUAAAUACAAAAACCGUGAAGGAAAUCCACAAUAAAUCCAUUAAAAAGCCAAGCUCCUUAUCAUAUGAAACAAACAACCAUCAAACUUAUUCCGGUGUAUGAAUUACGGUCCUAAGCCACUAUCGGGGAUUACUGAUGCGUCUAAAGGAAUAUCAAAUCUAUACGGGUGUAUGAUCUAAGGUCUUAAGCCACUAUCGGGGAUAACUAAUGCGUCUGAAGGAAUAUCAAAUCUAUGCU
rnacentral:sRNA from 1 species